AGGACGAACGCUGGCGGCGUGCUUAACACAUGCAAGUCGAACGGAAAGGCCCUGCUUUUGUGGGGUGCUCGAGUGGCGAACGGGUGAGUAACACGUGAGUAACCUGCCCUUGACUUUGGGAUAACUUCAGGAAACUGGGGCUAAUACCGGAUAGGAGCUCCUGCUGCAUGGUGGGGGUUGGAAAGUUUCGGCGGUUGGGGAUGGACUCGCGGCUUAUCAGUCUUGUUGGUGGGGUAGUGGCUUACCGAAGGUCUUUGACGGGUAGCCGGCCUGACGAGGGUCGACCGGCCACAUUGGGACUGAGAUACGGCCCAGACUCCGUACGGGAGGCAGCAGGUGGGGAAUAUUGCACGAAUGGGCGGAAGCCUGAUGCAGCAACGCCGCGUGCGGGAUCGGACCGGUCC
rnacentral:rRNA from 1 species